UUAGAUUUCAAGUUCAGGGUUCUCCACUUGAUCCUCAUCGAUCAUUAGACUAUCGAAUUCAUCAUCUCCGAACCUGAACGUUUCCGUCGUCACCAAUCAGAAACACUCCCACCUUCUUCUCUGAUCAUAAUAAUCUUAGGAAAACAUGGUGGAGAUCUAUUCUAUCUGUGGAAAAUGGAUA